UCGAGGUGCCGCUAUGGCGGAGUAAGUAUUAGUGUACAAGUAUCGGCAGUAUAUUAGUUCAUGCAUUUAUUUAUUUAUGUAUGUUUGUGUUUUUGUAUGUCAUCAUGUGAAUGUGUAGCAGGUAGACUGCUGCUCCACCUCCACUGUCGCUGGUUCCACCUGUGCAGCGGUGCCACCUGUUUAUAGGGCCGGGCUCUCGUCGGCGGCGUCUUGGUCUGGUUCCGCUAUGGCGGAGGCAGGAGCUGAGAGGCAGUUGCUCCUGGUGGUGUUUCCCGUCUCACUCGCCAUAACUUGGUGUGGCAUGUGGUGCUUUGGUUUGUAGUGUUUUGUUUUUUUUUUUGCCCAGAGUUGUGUCCUUGCCCUGCCUUUGUCUGUUUCCAGUCUCAGUUUAUUUUGUCCCUCUGUAUUGUAAGACAUUUGUAAUAAAUGAAUAUAAGCUAAA